rnacentral:lncRNA from 10 species
UGUGCUGAGACGAGGAAUGCACGUGUACACAUGCAGGUGUCCCUACAGUGGUCCCUGCCGGGCUGCCAGGACAGGGUCUCAGUGCUUGUUACCCUACAGGGUACCCAACAGGGCUUGCCUUUCUCAGGUCACCUCCUGUGCUGGGAGUGCCCCUGCAGCUGGGUAGCCAUCCUGGUAUAGGCCCAGAAGAGGCCAGUGGUAAGGACAGCACGCCUCAGCUGGCAGGGCCCACCAUCUUUCCAGCACUGAGUUGGCAACAGUCUCAAAUAGGUCACAGGUGAAGAGUUUCAAGGACAUGUAGCUUCUGCCUUAGAAGCACUUAGUUGACACUGCUUCCCUUAGCUCUAACUUUACAAAGGUUGGUGGGUAAGAUGACUUUCAGUGCCCUCCUAAGCUAGUGAGGUUUGUUUUUUUUUUUUUUUUUUUUUGAGACGGAGUCUUGCUCUGUUGCCCAGGCUGGAGUGCUGUGGUGCCAUCUUGGCUCACUGCAAGCUCCGCCUCCCGAGUUCACGCCAUUCUCCUGCCUCAGCCUCCCGAGUAGCUGGGACUACAGGCCCCCGCCACCACGCCCGGCAAAUUUUUUGUAUUUUUAGUAAAGAUGGGGUUUCACCAUGUUAGCCAAGAUGGUCUCGAUCUCCUAGCCUCGUGAUCCACCCGCCUCGGCCUCCCAAAGUGCCGGGAUUACAGGCGUGAACCACCGUGCCUGGCCAGGUUUUGUUUUUUCUAGAAAAGGGAGGCAUCACUAGCCAUCUUCUCUGAUGGAGACUGCUGCUGGGAAUAGACAAGCUGAGAGUGGCCCAGGGGGCUGGGAAUAUGAGAAUGUCAGGACCCCUCUGUCCAAGGUAGCACUAAGCUCUAAUGUAAACUGUGGUUACAGUUGUCACUACUAAAGGGUUAACAUUUAUUUUGCCCCAAACUAAUCUUAAGUGCUUUUCGUGUAUUCUUAUUCAAGCCUCACAACAACCAUGUGAAGUAGGUGCAAUUAUUACCCCCAUUUUAGGGAUGGGGAAACUGAGGCACAGAGCAGUAGGGAGAACACUUAAAAUCUACUGUCUUAGAGAUUUUCAAGAAUACAUUGUUACUAAUAGUCACCGUGUUGUACAGUGGAUCUCUUGAACGUAUUCCUCCUGUCUAACUGAAAUGUUGUAUUCUUUGACCAGCAUCUCCCUACCCCCACCACUCCUAGCCGCUGGCAACCACCACUCUACUCUCUACUUCUGUGAGUUCGACUUUCUUGGAUUCCACAUAAGUGACAUCACAUGGGAUUUGUCUUUCUGUGCCUGGCUCAUUUCACUUAAUGUCCUCCAGGUUUAUCCAUGCUGUCACAGAUGACAAGAUUCCUUUUGUAAGGCUCAGCAGCACUGCAUUGUGUAUCAGUACCUCAUUUCUUUAUCCAUUCAUCCAUUGUGGACACCUACGUUGAUUCCACGUCUUGGCUAUUAUGAAUAGAGCUGCAGUGAACGUGGGAGUACAGAUAUCUCGACAUGCUGAUUUCAUUUCCUUGGAGUAUCUACCCUGUAGUGGGAUUGCUAGACCAUGUGGUAAUUUUAGUUAUAACUUUUUAGGAACCUUCAUGCCAUUUUCCAUAAUGGUUGUACUAAUUUACAUGCCCAUCAGCAGUGCACUAAAAGUAGCUUUUAAGUGUUCUCACCACAAAAACAUGGUAAGCAUGUUCUGCGUGUGUUGAUGAGCUUGAUUUAGCCAUUCCACAAUGUGUCCAUAUUUCAAAACAACAUAUUGUACAUGGUAAAUAUACAUAAUUUUAUCUGUCAAUCUUUGAAAUUGAUUAAUUUUUUAAAAACCCCUCUUAGGCUCACACAGCAACUGGCUGAGCCAGCAGUCACAUCAGGCUUGGCUGGUGCCAGAUCCUUGGUAGUUGGUGCUCUCAGCAGCCACCCUGAAUGGCCUCCCAGCGGGAGCUUGCUGAGUAUUUGUUGACACAAUGAUUGGCCCAGCCUCUGGGAUCCUAAGCCUACAGCAGUUGUUCUACACUUUUUUCCAUUUGAAUUGCAUUUAUAACAGUUGGGGGUAUACAAUGAAAAAAUAAAUCCCGAUUUCUGGCUUCUCUUAAAACAUAGGAAGGUGCGGCGGGCAGCUCUGAGUGCCAGCCCGGUGGCAGAUUUUCCAGAGUAGUGGUGUCUUGCCCAGGUAUCCGUUUCAUUCUUCAGGUUCAUUGAGUCUUACAGAUACAAGUUUUGAAUCCAUUGCUCAGGAGCGUUUAGUGCAGAUGGUCUCUUCCUGUGUUCUCUGAAAGUGCUGUUAAUAGCUGCUUUCUUCCUGCCCCACCCUCCAUAAGAGGACAGGGCCGUGGCCCACACUUGAAAGAGGCCGGGGUAAAUGCCUGGCCAGAGACACACACCGAUGCCUCCAGCAGGCAUGCAGGGAGCUCCCUUCAGGUCAGAAGGCGUGACCUUCAUCUCACCUGUCGUCUUGGACAAGCCCUUGCGCUGCCUGAUUUGGGAAGAGAGGUCGGCCUGAGCGCUGCCUCCUGUCCUUUGAUAUCUGGCACUGGGAAGUAAAGGGGAGAAUCUUGGUUUCCAAAUCCCAAAUGCUCACCGCUGCCUUUGUUCCCUCACAGUGUGAUCCAGCUUUGCUUCCUGAGCCCAAUCACGUCAUGCUGAACCACCUAUACGCGCUGUCUAUCAAGGAUGGAGUGAUGGUGCUCAGCGCAACCCACCGGUACAAGAAGAAGUACGUCACCACCUUGUUAUACAAGCCCAUAUGAAGAGCUGGGGGCGGAUGGUGGCCCAGGAGACAGCACACCACCAGGCUCCACACGUGCAUGCUUUCCCCAAGAGGGAAUGGACUGUACAUUGCUCAUUUCACACUCUUCAGAAGACAUUUCAUACCUGCCCUGGUCCUGCUUGAAGGUUUGUCCAGGCAGAGCAGCUCCUGCAGCGCCUCGGUCUGUGACAGUCCUCCUAGCACCCCCAUGGCUUUGAGCCUCGGGGACUCAUCAAGUCCAAGAAAAGAGGGAGGGGUGGCAGAGGAUCUGCAGCCCUGGCCCCGCGGUGCAUGAGGCUGGGUGCAGUUCUAAACCUACAUUCUCGAUUUUUCUUAAGCCAAAAAUGAAUGCUAACUCCUUUGCCAGUAAAAUUCUGGGAAACAGGGACUGAGGCCACACAUCAUUUCCAGUCAUCUGUGUGUUUUUAAGGCCAGCCACUUGUCCCUGUUGAGGCCUGGCUAUGGAACUAAAUACAGUGUUGGUCUUGCCUGUCCUUCAAAAUCAACAACAGAUUGUCUCUCGGCUCCAGGGAGGUGUCAUUUCUAUAGAAAUUAGAAGCUUUCUGAUUUCUAGAUGAGGUUUUACAAUUGUUUCUUACAGUCAUGUGCACUAAGUACUCUUUUUGUAAGCAGAGGUGGCUGGCUCUGCAGCCUUAAGGCCAUUUUUUAAGUCACCACGUCUAGAAGUCACAUGAACUCUGCUCAGCAAUAAUCUGUUCUCAGAACAGACUUUUCAACCUGCUGCCGGAUUUCUCCAUUCAGCUGGAUGAUCCUCAGGACUGACCAGUUAGCUGGCAGGUUGUCCAGCUUUUUAUUCCAGUCAUAAUAGGUGACAGUGUUAACCGUGAAAACUUGAGAGGCACUCUGCCCUCUUCCCUAUAAAAUCACACAGCGUGAUUUUACAAGGUCCCGUGGCACCUUGCUCAGGACCUCUGCCCCUAGUUAGCAAGACUGCAGCAGUUGCUGUUGCUUAUUCUGAAAGGAAUGUAGAACUUGACAGCAGCCUUCUGAGUCUGGGUCAGGAAGAUGUCCUUUGGACCAAAGCAGACUUCUUUAUACGCAGCUCAGUUUCCCGGGAGUCGCCACAGAUGUACCCACUAGCCCAGGUUGCUGUGAGUCAGCGGAAGCUCCCGUUAUGCCCUUUGCUCCUGGUGGGAGAGGGAGGAGUGAGCUCCCUGGGUUCCAGUAUUUACUUGGUAUACCUGAGUUUGGGGGUACCCUUUUUUGUGACUUUUCAAAACAGUGAAUUACUGUCACCUUGAUGGACAAGUUUCAAUAAAACUUUGUAAAAAUAA